CAUCCGUCUUUACUGCUGAAAAAAUCUUAACCAAGCUAUUUAUAAAGCUUGCAGUCGCGAGAUUUUGGACUCUGACGCGGUUUCCUCCGGAAAUCUCCAAAAAAAUUGCAUUCGAAUCAAAAAUCGUAACAGGGGCAUCUAUUAUUGCCCUCACAGUAAUGUUUUUAUUUUCGACAGUGAAUGUGCCGUUCUUUGGCGACAAGAAUGUCAUUUAUGGCAUUAUGCUUCUUCAGAAGAGUUUUGGCAGAACGGCAAAGUUAUUUUGUUUUCUCUACUACGGAACUUUACCAAUUUUGGCUUACGUUGCUUUUAUCAGUGGAGGAGUUCUCAUCUAUACUUUGAUGCACCUAAGGUUCUACAUUUUUGUGAUCAAUCAUUAUUUGGAGCGAAUUGUUCUCCAAUACGACCUCGUUAUAAGUGACAGUCACAAACUGAGAGAUGAGGAAUAUCAAAAGUCAAUUUACGACCAACUUAAAAUUUGUAUAGGUCGUCACCAGUCUUUUAAAAAGAUUGAAAAAAAACUAAAUGCCAAACUUCUUCCAUACUUAUUACUGUUAUUAUAUUUAGGAACUGCUGCGGUUCUUAGCAUGCUUUUCAAUAUUCUCGUCGACGCCAGCAAAUUUGGCUAUUUUGUGGCAAUUGGAGGAAUGGUGGUUUCAGUAAUUGUACCGUUGUUGUUGGUACAUGUGGGACAAUGUCUCAAAGACGAAUACGAGAAAAUGUUUGCCAACACCUUGAAAUUUCCAUGGAUUGUUUGGAACUCAAGGAAUCGGAAAAUUUUGUUUAUUUUUAUCUUGAAUCUUCAAAAAUCUUUAUGCAUAGGACAACCGGGGCUUGUUUUGUGCGAAUAUUCUUUUAUUCCAUCGGUGCUGAGUUUCGUUUGGACAUUUUCUACUUUUAUAGUACAAGUUGCGUCUAAAAGUAGGUAGACAAUCAAAUAAAGCCGUAAAGAAGAUAACGAGAAGAUAAUGAGAUAA